rnacentral:snRNA from 1 species
AUAUUCCAAAUGUAUUCCAAUC